rnacentral:rRNA from 1 species
GCUGCAACUCGACUCCAUGAAGCUGGAUUCGCUAGUAAUCGCGCAUCAGCCAUGGCGCGGUGAAUACGUUCCCGGGCCUUGUACACACCGCCCGUCAAGCCAUGGGAGCCGGGGGUGCCUGAAGUACGUGACCGCGAGGAGCGUCCUAGGGCAAAACUGGUGACUGGGGCUAAGUCGUAACAAGGUACC